rnacentral:rRNA from 1 species
GGGUCAGUAGGUUGGUCGUGCCACCGGUACGUACUGGUCUCACUGAUUCCUCCUUCCUGAAGAACCGUAAUGCCAUUAAUUUGGUGUUGCGGGGAAACAGGACUGUUACUUUGAAAAAAUUAGAGUGUUUAAAGCAAGCUAACGCUUGAAUACAUUAGCAUGGAAUAAUGAAAUAGGACGUUCGAUCCUAUCUUGUUGGUUUCUAGGAUUGACGUA